GUGGUGACUCAGUGGUAGAGCGCUCACCUAGCACGUGAGAGGCCCUGGGUUCAAUCCUCAGCACCACA
rnacentral:tRNA from 1 species